GGCAGUUCUUGGAUGACGCACCCCAGAAUUGGGCUCCCUCCUCUCUGGUUCCAGGUGCAUCAGCCAAGAACUGCU
rfam:Myotis brandtii contig290433, whole genome shotgun sequence.